GCCUCCUUAGCUCAAUAGUAGAGCGGACAAUUGCAGAUCGUCAGGUUAGUUGUUCGAAUCGGCUAGGGAGCU